AUUGUCGCGAGAGAAGAAAAAGAAGGUGAUGAGGUUGGACAGAAGGAGGAGGCGAAGGUGAGAGGAGAAUCGCUGGAGCCUUGUAGAGAGUGACUAAAAGAACGCACCAAGGAUUGAUGCGAUGACUCCUACAAGUUUGGCUUGGCUGCUUCAGCUUUUCCAGCUCACUCUCUCCAUCCUAAUUUUUAAUUCAGUUAUUAAAGAAUAAGCUAAGUUUAUCUUGUAAUAAUGGCCAUUGACGUAAUGCGCAAUUCUGUCUUGUGUUUCCUAUGAAUGUGCAGCCUCCACUUGCUGAAGCACCGGACUUUCUUUGGUUCUGUCCCGUUUCAGGGAUUUUUUCAUUUGCAAAGCAACUCCUAUCUAGGAAAUUUUAGGGACCCAGCAUCACGAGACGAGGUUCAUCAUCACGAGAGUGAAAGUGAAGGUGAAUAAUGGCGAGAAUGAAAGUGAAAGCUGGGACGAGGUUCAUCAUGGCCCGUUGAAGAUAGAAUUUCAAUUUCAAUUCCUUAUAUUAUGAACUAAUUGAUUCAGUCAAUCCGUAAGAUUGAAGGGUCAGUCAAUAAAUUGGAAGAACUUUAUCUUGUAUAUUGUUUUCCUAUUUGUAUUUCUUUGUAUUAUAAAUAUCCUCAUAUACAUGUACAAACAAUAUCGAAAAAUACAAUUACAAUUCCUCCAUAACGCCUUUUCGAUUUCUGUCAUCUUUUCUUCGAUUCCUACCAUAAUAUCAGAGGUAUCAGAGAGUUCUUUCCUAACCUAGGUUCCGUAAAGUUUUCUGGAUUGCCUCCAGUCAGUUUUCUAACUUUGUGUUGCAAACCAUAAUAUGCAAAACAAAGUUAGCACUUUGGGUGGAAAUGCACGUAUUUAUUUAUUUUAUUUUAUUGGUAAAGAGCACGUAUUUAUUUAUCAACCAUACAAUUACCAAGAAGCCUGCUUAAGCCUACAUAGGAAUUUAUGAAGACAACAUACCCAUACUCCCCUAUCUUUGUAAAUCUUAUGGAAGUUCCAUAUAAGACUUUUUUAUCCUGAUCGCUUUAAUGAAAAGCAUUGGAUGUGUUUACUUUCUUGGCCACUAGGGGAAAAAGUCUUGUGAUAGUUGAAUCAAGCCUUGUAGGAAACUAUUUACUUUGCACUUGAUUUUGUAUAUUCAUUUGCAGCCAAUUGACCUUCCAUGUGAAGGCAAGGACAUGCCCAGAGCAAGGGACUUGUAAUCCAUGCCAAUGUCCCCGUACAUAUGUGAUGUGAGUUUGCAGGGUGAAUUACCAAAAAAGUCAUAAAUUUAUUACAAUUGUGUCAAUUUAGUCAUAAACUUUUUUUUUGCCAAUUCAGUCCUAAACAUUUUGUAAUUAUACCAAUUUAGUCCAUUCGACAAAAUUUAACCAACCGACGCUAAUGUGGACAUUAGCCAGCGAUGGCUGUCUAGUGAAUGCUAAUGUGUCAUUUUUAAAUUUUUUUUUGAAUUUUUGAAUUUUUUUUUGAAUUUUCUUUCUUUCUUUCCAUCCAUCUUUUCCUUCCUCUAGUCGGCCACAAGGGUCGAUGGGGCCUCACCUAGCCAAGGCGACGGUUGACUUCGCUAGUGGCUGGCGAGGCUCCUCGCUAGAUCUGGCGAUGGCGACCUCACUAUCGCUAGGUGAGGCUUGACUUCGCCAGUGGCCGGCGGCGGCAAACCUUGCCACUAGCCGACGAGGCAGACCUCGCCGACUAGCUAGAGGAGGGAGAAGAUGGAUGGAAAGAAAAGAAAAAUAAUUCGAAAAAAUAUUUAAAAAUUCAAAAAAUAAUUAAAAAAUGUCACGCCAGUUGACCAACGUCCACGUUAGUACCGACCAUCCAAUUUUAGCCGGAUGGAUUGAAUUAACACAAUUAUAAAAGGUUUAGGACGAAAUUGACAAAAAAAAAUUAUGACUGAAUUAGCAUAAUUACAAUAAAUUUAUGAUUUUUUUGGAAAUUCUCCCCAUCUGCAUCAUCAUCCAAAUUACAUAAAAAUUCACUUCGUUUUUUGUAUGAAACUCUCAGCAGUUGAUAGAGACCUUUGGCUUCGAAAGAAUUCCAAGAAAAGCAGAUCCCAAGUCUGCAAAUUCGUGCGAAAUGAAGAAGCUUCACUCACUCGCCCAUCCAGAGCGAGCAAGAUGAUCUUGCGAAGGAUAGAAAAGGUGAGAGGGGGACACGACCCAGACCUGUCAAACAGAGCAAACAAGCUAGACGAGGGCUUCAAACUGUUUUCCCCUUUCUUUUCCUCCAUAAACCUGACAUUAAUGGAGUUAGCAGAAGCCUUCGAUUAAGCCAAAUCCCAAACUAGAGUUGCUUCUGGUAGUUCAUUAUUGAUAUGCAUCUGCGAGCAGAUAUCAGUCCACAUUACAUAAAGAUACGCUCGAACAUCUACAAAGUAUCUCGCCAUGGAACCUGAAAAAUUUCAGGAAAAUCCACUUCUUCUCUUUCCCCCUGUUUUGCCAGCACAAUUGUUUAAGAAAUUUCUUUUUGGGGUACAUGUGCAUCAGGCCGCGCUUCAAGGAUACAUCAAUUUGUGCCGUACAAUGUUAGAUCAGUAAUACACGACACGACCCGGAUGCACAACCGGAUACGUAGUUAACUAGGUUUGACUUUGGUACAGACAAGUUAAUGUCAUAAAUGGAUCAGCUCGUUCAAGAUACAACAAAAAUUGUGUUUGACAGGAGUUGACUCGCUCACCCAUUUAAAUACAAAUUAACAUUUUUAAUUUAGUGAGUUUUCUUUUGGUCAAAAAUUUAGUGAGUUAAUGUGUUACCUUUUUAACACGAUAUCAUUAGAUAUACUUUGAUAUGUUUAGUACUCAAAUAAUAUGUAACUUUUUCUUUUUCUUCUUUUUUAUAAUUUGCUCUUCUUCUCUUCUUCUCUCUCUUUUUUUUUUUUUUCCUUUUCCUGUGUCAAUGAGGGUCAUUGGCGAUCAUCCGACUAGGAAGGUCUUGCCAGUUGUGGAUGAGAAGGCCUCCCCUAGGGCGUUCAUGGCAUCGCCGAUAGUGACCAAGGCAAUCCUCACCUAGACUACCUGCGAAGGUUGCCAGUGAACUUCGUUGCAUAGAAAAAAAUAAAAAUUCAAAAAUUAUCCACAUCAGUACAGUUAUGUCAUUUAGAACGACUGAUUAUUAUCUCAACGAUUUCCAAUCAUAAUUAGCAGAAUGGAUUUAAUUGAUAAAUUUGAAAAAUUUAUGACUGAAUUGAUCAAAAUGCUAUAAAUUUUAAAAAAAAAUUAUAUAAUUUUCCUUAAAUGCUCAGAAGAUUUAAAUAUAUUUUUUUCAAAGUGGGCAUACACGUUAAUUUAUGCGCACCAGAUGGCAUGCGGCAAUCAAAAUUUGUCCCUAUCUUAGCAUUUCCACAUCUAGUUCACGUUGGAACAUUCAGCCCGAAUAAUUUCCAAAGACAAGAGGGUGGUGCGUCUUAAGAAUAUGUACAAAUGUUUUGUAAUUUUCCUCCUCCUUUUUUCUUUAUGUUGCCAAGACAAUCUACAAGCUUGAAGCUUUGCUUAGGAGCGGAGGAAUCUUACGGCUGGAGGAUGCCAAGCUCCCCCACAACCCCACUGCCCUCGAUCGUCGUCUCUUCCUCUUUGGACUUUCCCCACGUUACCCCGUAGAAUCCCACGAUCACAAUCGCUCCGCGAAAGCUGCACAAAGCCCAAAAGAGAAAAACAAAAAGGCCAUUUAACCAAAAAAGAAAAAAGAAAAAUUCUUUUAAAUGGCAUGUCCGCGUUGAUCGAGACAGGAUAUUCUCGUAAAAUUAUCACGUAGUCUGUGGAACUCAAGGCACGGCCUCGAUACCAACUAUUGAGUAAGACAGACAAAGCCCAUCUCAAGAAGCACAAGCUCUUUUCAUUGGCAAUACUCUUUUAUAAUAUCGGUUGGAAAAACUCUCACACACACUUAUGGGAGCCAAGCACGCUCACACCACGCUUGCUCUAAUGAGCGCCCUCGCCUAUUUGGAGGCCUAAGUAGUUGGUUCUACCUCCUAAAAUAUUUUGAUAUUUCUAUAUUAAUAUCUUCCCCUAGGUAUUUCUAAAGAAAUAUAUCCUAUGAUAUUUCUACACUCUUCUUAAAAUUUCUUAUAACUAUAUAUCUAAAUAUUUGGGUAGUCUAGAGAAAUCUAGAAUCUUUAAGAGAAAAGAGGAGGUGCAAUUCUUCAGCACUCCCCCUCAAAAACUUUUUUUUUUCUCAACGUGAAUCUAGUCAUCGUGCCAAAUUGCGUCUUGGAACUCUUUAGUUGUCUUUUUGGCUUCCUUUAACCUUUGUUAUUCCUUCCUGACUUCGCCUAUUUCUUAUGCUCACUGAAGAUAUUUGAGAUAAAGCCCUAAUUAACACCAUCUUCUCGAACUUCAAUUACCUCUGUGGCUGCAACUUUUGAUUAGAUUUUGUGAAGUUUGGACUUUGGCAACGCGAAGUUCGACCUGUGCUUCUGUCUCUUUUUCCUGCAUCCCACUUAACCUAGCCUUCAUACUUUGCAAUUCUUUUGUAAGAGUUUUAAGAUCAUAGCUUAUGUGGCCAAGCCUUUCAUUCGCGGUUUCAUUUGGUGCUUUAACCGAUUCACUUCAAUUUGCAGACAACUUCGUCCUUCUUCUGGUAGGGCUUCUUCUCCACACCCUUCCAUCGAGAUGUAAGGUGGAGAUGGCCACAGUUUUUAAAAACAUCCUUUCUUUUUCUCCUUCUUAUUUUCCCUAGUUUGACCAAUUGAGAAUGUCACAGUGGGCUUGAAUUCCUUAAGCUUCUGCAACUUCUUAAGCUCACACGAAAGCUUUUCAUGCUCUCUUUCUUUGGCCUUGAGCUCCUCCUCCUUCUACCUCAGCAUUUCUCCUUCUCCUUCAACAUCUUCUCCAUCUUCACCUUCAUCUUCUCCAUCUCCUACAGCCCUUUCUCAAGGCUGCUCAUUGGCACUGCUACUCGCUUCUUCGGGUUUGUCCUCAGCUUGCUCUUAUCCAAGAACGUGACAAAGUCUCUCGCAUCAUCUGACUUGAUAGUGGAGGAGGUUGCGAGCGCUUCCGAUUCCUCUAUUAUAGUGGCCAGUUGGAAAUCUCACUCUUCUUCAUUAUCGUUCUCUUUCAUGGUAGAGGUUGCGGCAUUUCCUUCAACGUGCCUGAAUAGAUAGACCUUGGCAAAGUGCCAUACUUUAAUGCACAUGCAGCACCAUCCGUUAUGCCUUUUAAAGCUUUUAUCUUCAUUGUCAUUAUUGUUAUAAUCUCGAUGAGCUCCCCAUGGCUGCGCGCUCCUCCCUUCUGGUCGCCUCAGCCAGUCUCCAUGACCACUCCUCUCUUUUUCAUCUCCAAUGCUAGCUUCAUUUCUCCUUUGGCCCUUGAACCCCCUUUUUCUUAUGGAAGAGGACACUUCGAUCAUCCUUCAUUGAGACCUUAGAAAUUUGUCUAUCUAAACCCCCUUAGUUGACUAAUAUAUUCUCUAACUUGAUCAAAGUUGGAUCUUUAGACUAUCCCCCAUGAAUGCUAAUUAUUCCCUACAUAGUCCUAGAGAUGGCAUUCUAAGGAUCCAACUUUAUAAUUUCUUCACAAAUAGAUUUAACUUUGAAAAGAUAUUGGCUCACUGUCAAUCGCUCAUUUUCCAACCAUUGUAGUUUGGCGUCAUUCGUCCUAGAGAAUAGUGUUGCCAAGGCAACCUAUGCCUCCUUUGGGAUUCUUGUGGUUUUGAUAUGCUGUAACAUUCAUCACUCAACUAUAACAACAAGAACAUAGAGAGUCCUACCAACCUUAAUCUUCCACUCCCUCCCCCCUCUUCAUCAACCGUGAGUGGUGUGGUAUAAUCGCGUCAACAAUAUCCUACAAAUCUUAACCCAAUAGGUAAAAUUGCAUGCUGGCAUUCCAAUUAUUAUAAUUGAAGUUGUUGCAUCCUUGACACCCCUUGCCCAUGGCCAAUGGGGCUGCCAAGGCCUCCCCCAAGGCCUUUACGGCAUCACCAAGGUGAGGCUUUUGCAACUAGCGAGGGUUGCUAGUGACCCUCGUUGGCACCGGAAAAAAAAAAAACAAAAACAAAGAAAAGGAGGAAAAGAAAAAAGAUUAAAAAAUUCAAAAAUUUACAAAAAUUGUCCAUUGUCAUAUAAGGUACGAUAACCGAGUCAACGUUAGUGAUUUCCAGUCAAAAUUAGUCGAACGAAUUUAAUUGAUAAAUUUAAAAGAUUUUAGGACCGAACUAAUAGAAAUGCAAUAAAUUUAGAACUUUUUAAAUAAUUUUCCCCCAUUUCUCAAAAGAUCUAAAUACAAGUUUUUCAAAGUGGGCAUACACGUUAAUUUAUGUGCACCAGAUUGCAUACCGCAAUCGAAAUUUGUACCUAUCUUAGCAUUUCCACAUCUAGUUCUUGUUGGAAUAGUCAUCUCGAAUUAAUUUCCAAAGACAAAAGGCUACGCCUUAAUAAUAUGUACAAAUUUCCGUCUUUUUCCUUCUUUUUUCUUUAUGUUGCCAAGAAUAUCUACACGCUUGAAGCUUUGUUUUGGAGCAGAGGAGUCUUAUGGACGGAGGACGCCAAGCUCUCCCCAACCCCACUGCCCUCGAUCGUCGUCUCUUCCUCUUUGGACUUUCCCCACAUCACCCCGUAGAAUCCCAUCACAAUCACGAUCGCUCCGAUUAUGCUGCACAAGACCCAAAAGGGAGAAACAAAAAGGCAAGUUGACUAAAGAUAUUUCUUUUAAAUGGCAUGCCCGCGUCAAUCGAGACAGGAUAUUCUCUUAAAAUUAUCACGCAGUCUGUUGAACUUAGAGGCAUGGCCUCGAUACCAACUAUCAAGUAAGACGCACAAAGCUCGUUUAAAGAAACAAGAGCACUUUUCAUUGGUGACACUCUCUUAUAAUAUCAGUCGGAAAAAACUUUGUAUACAAACUUAAGAGUGCCAAGCACAAUCUCAUACACUCUCACACACACUUAUGGGACCAAGCUCACUCACACCACGCUUGCUUUAAUGAAAGCCCUUGCCUAUCUAUAGGCCUAAGUAGGUGGUUCUACCUCCUAGAAUAUUUAGAUAGUUCAAUAGUAAUAUCUUCCCCUAGGUAUUUCUAAAGAAAUAUAUCCUAUGAUAUUUCUACACUCUUCUUAAAAUUUCUUACAACCAAAUAUAUAAAUAUUUAGGUAGUCUAGAAAAAUCUAGAAAUUUUAAGAGAAAAGAGGAGGUGCGUUUCUUCAACACUCCCUCUCAACAAUUAUUUUUUUUCUCAAUGUGGAUCUAGCCAUCUUGGAACUCUUUAGUUGUCCUUUCGGCUUCUUCCUUUAACCUCUGUUUUUCCUUCCUGACUUCACCUAUUUCUUGCGCUCACUCCAGAUGCGCUCACUCCAGAUGUUUGAGAUAAAGCCCUCAAACUUCAAUUACCUCUGUGACUGCAACUUUCGACUAGAUUUUGUGAAGUUUGGACUUCGGCAACGCCAAGUUCGACCUGUGCUUCAGUCUCUUUUUCCUGCAUCCCACUCAACCCAGCCUUCAUACUUUGCUAUUCUUUUGUAAGAGUUUUAAGAUCGUAGCUUAUGUGGCCAAGCCUUUCAUUCGCAGUUUCAUUUGGUGCUUUAACCAAUUCACUUCCAUUUGAAGCACUUAGAUGGAGAUAACUUCGUCUUUCUUCUGAUAGGGUUUCUUCUCCACGCCCUUCCAUCGAGAUAUAAGGUGGAGAUGGCCACAAUUUUUAAAUACAUCCUUUCUUUUUCUCCUUCUUAUCUUUCCCAGUUUGACCAACUGAGAAUGUCACAGUAGGCUUGAAUUCUUAAGCUUCUGCAACUUCUUAAGUUCACACCAAAGCUUAUCAUGCUCUCUUUCUUUGGCCUUGAGCUCCUCCUCCUUCUGCCUUAGCAAUUUUUUUCUUCUCCUUCAACAUCUUCUCCAUUCUUUGCCUCCAUCUUCUGCAUCUCCUACAGCCCUUUUUCAAGGCUGCUCACUGGCGCCGCCACUUACUUUUUUGGGUGUGUGCUUAGCUUGCUCUUAUCCAAGAUUGUGACAAAGGUUGUCGCAUCAUUUGACUUGAUAGUGGGAGAGGCUGCGAGCUCUUCCAAUUCACCACUUGGAAAUCUAACUCUCUUCACUAUGGUUCUCUUUCAUGGCAGAGGUUGCGGCAUUUCCUUCUAUGUGCCUGAAUAGCCCUGGCAAAGUGUCAUCCUUUACCUCACCUGAAGCACCAUUUGCUACACCUUUUAUUGCUUUUAUCAUCAUUGUCAUCUUUAUCAUAAUCCCAAUCCCAAUGAGCUCCCCCUGAGCACUCCUCCCUUCUGGUCUCCCCAGCCAGUCUCCAUGACCUCUCCUCUAUUUCUCUUCUCCAGUGCUAGCCUCAAAUCUCCUUUGGCCAUUGAAUCUCUCUUAUUAUUAAAGAGGACACUUUCAUCAUCCUUUCCCUAGACCUCAGACAUUUGUUUAUCUAAAUCCUCUUGAUUGGCCAAUAAAUUCUCCAGCUCGGUCAAAGUCGGAUCUUUAGGCCAUGAGUAGCUAUAACAAUACCAUUAUGUUAUGACCGUAACCCAUGAACGAUAAUUAUUCUCAUCCUAUCCUAGAGAUGGCAUUCUGAGAAUUCAACUUUAAAAUUUCUUCACAAAUAGAUUAACUUUGGAAAGAUAUUAGCUCAUUGUCAAUAGCUCAUUUUCCAACCAUUGUAGGUUGGCAUCAUUCGUCCUAGAGAAUAGUGUUGCCAAGGUGUCCUUGUGCUCAUGAUAUGCUGUAGCAAUUCAUCUUCCCCUAUAACAACAAGAGCAUAGAGUCUCCUACCAACAUUAAUCUUCCCCUUCUUCCUGCUCUUCAUCAUCCAUGAGUGAUGUGGUAUUGUCAUCGCAAACAAUAUCACACAAAUCUUAACCUAGCAGGUAAAAUUGCAUGCAGGCAUUCCAAUUAUUAUAAUUGGAGUUGUUCAGCUUCUCUACGCCAUUGCCAAACUUGAGAAAUCUAUCAUCAUGAGUUGGUUAUAAUGCCCGAGAUUAUACCAAGUAAGCUUGGUUCCAGAUCAACCGAUUACAUUCCUUGACUGUGAAUUGAUAUAGUUUCAGCAUAUUCCAGUCCCUGAUCAUCUGCUCACAUACAAUGGUUCCUAGCCACUAUUUUUGCGUACCACGACUUUCAAUCGCUAGAUUCACAGUCCUCAACUGCCUACUCUAAUACCACUUGUUGAACUUGCAGGUGUAGCUUUGAUACCAACACAUACUUUUUUUGUUUGAGGCAUUUUCUUACGAUAUAAAGUUGAGAGAACUUAUACAACUCAUGGGUGCCAAGCACACGCACUUAUGGGAGCCAAGCUCACUCAGAGCACACUAACUCCAAUGAGAGCUUAAGCCUGUUCAUCCGCCUAUGGAGGUGGUUCUACCUCCUAAAUUAUCUAGAUAUUUCUAAAUAAAUAUCUUCCCUAGAUACUUCUUAAUAAAUAUCUCCAGAUAUUUCUAUCUCUCUCUAGAUAUUUAUAGAAAAAUAUAUUCCUGGAUUUCUACACCCUUCUUAGAAUAUCUUUCAACGUAAUAUCUAGAUGUUUAGGUAACUUAAAAAUAUCUAGAAUUCUUGAGAGAAGAGAGAAGGUAUAAUUCUUUUAUAAUCCUCAUGCAACUCAUUUUCGUUGCUUGUUUUGUUCAUUUAUGUAUGCUUUCAACCACUAAACUCUGGUUUCUUGACAGAGAGACCGUGACAAAUCCUUAGACUUGAGCAAUUUUCGUAUAAAAAGUUAAACUGAAGAGCAAACCUGUUUAUAUUAUAUAUACAAAGAAUACGUGUUGUUGUGCUUGAGAUUAGCUCAUGAAGGAGCUUUUUUCUCUAAUGGACACAUCUUUCUUAGUUACUAUUAAUCAACUAGAUUCUUGAUCACAGAGUAGGUUGGGGUGUGGGCAUUUCAAUUAAGAAGAAGAGCGAGUACUUGUACCUUCCGAGGUAUAACAUCUCGCCAAGAAAUAUGAACCCCAAUCCGGCAGCAAAUACAACUCCCAAGGGCUUGAACAUGGAGACAUAAACAGGUCCAGUUUUUUUCAGGCACCAUGUACAUAAUGAGGCUCUGAAGACGCCAGAAACCAGAGCCUGCAUAUACAAUAGUAAUUUACUUUUACGUUCAACCUCGAAGUCAAGACCAAAAUGUAGAGUUUAGAAGUUAUUAUGUCACACGCUUACCGAGUAUAAUAUAGAAAUUAGACCUAUAUUGACUUUCAAAAUCCAAAACUGCGGUUCUCUCACUGUAACAAAGGACAACAGCCCGGAAAGAACAGUCGAAAAGAACGUUGAAUAGAACAUUAAGUUCAUCACCACGGGAUAAUCUUUGAGGAUAAAUGCCUGCAAGAUUCGAGAUAUGUUUACUUGUCAAUUCUUCUUUAGCUUUGUUUUAGUGUCAUUCAUAUUCUAAGUAAGGCCAUCGGUGCUAACCUGUCCAAUGAACCAUAAUGAUAUCAAGAAAGCUUCGGCCACAAGGAGAAACCCGCCAAGGAUCCAAUUCGAUUGUCUCGAGAGAAGAAAAGGAGGGUGACGAGGUUGGACAGGAGGAGGCGAAGGGGAAAGGAGAAUCGGCGGACCCUUGUAGAGAGUGACUACGAAUGCACCAAGAAUUGAUGUAAUGGUUCCCACAAGCUUAGCUUGGCUGCUCGAGCUUUUCCAGUUCACUUUCUCCAUCCUAAUUAUCAGUUCCAUCAACAAACCAAAGAAUAGAAUAAGUUCAUCUUGUGAUCAUCUUCGACGACACAUUGUGCGCUGCUGUCUCUUGUCUUUCCUAUGAAUGUGCUGCUGCCUUCUCUUGCUGAAGCACCGGACUAUCUUGAAUUUGUUCCAUUUCAGGGACAUAUUCAUUCGCAGAGCAACUCUCGUUUUGGGAAUUUUAGGGAUCCAGCAUCAACAGAAAUAACACAACAUCAUUUGCUUCUCUCAUUUUUUUAUUUUAUUUUUCAAAUGAAGGUUCUUUAAGUGCGCCGAGAUUGAAAGGACACAUGCACAGAAAAUGAGAACUGAAUUAAGUGGUAGCAAAGCGAAUCUCUCCGGACCUAGUUGAAACAGGAACUGUUGAUUUUUGAUAAAAAUCGCUCGCAACCUCGAGCUGAACCCAUGUAAAAUUAACCCCCCAUCAUCCAAUUACCACACUAUCAUCUGCUUCUCUCAUUUUUUUAUAAAAUGAAGGUUCUUUAAGUGCACUGCAGAUAACGAGAGAGAAGAGACAAAAGAACCUUGAAAUAAUGGCGAGAAUGAAAGUGAAAGCUGGGAUGAGGUUCAUCAUGGCCAUGCCCAGAACAGGGGAGCUGUAAUCCAUGCCGACAUACUCGCACAUC
rnacentral:lncRNA from 1 species